AACGAACGCUGGCGGCAUGCCUAACACAUGCAAGUCGAACGAGACCUUCGGGUCUAGUGGCGCACGGGUGCGUAACGCGUGGGAAUCUGCCCUUGGGUUCGGAAUAACUCAGAGAAAUUUGAGCUAAUACCGGAUGAUGACGAAAGUCCAAAGAUUUAUCGCCCAAGGAUGAGCCCGCGUAAGAUUAGCUUGUUGGUGGUGUAAUGGCCUACCAAGGCGACGAUCUUUAGCUGGUCUGAGAGGAUGAUCAGCCACGCUGGGACUGAGACACGGCCCAGACUCCUACGGGAGGCAGCAGUGGGGAAUAUUGGACAAUGGGCGAAAGCCUGAUCCAGCAAUGCCGCGUGAGUGAUGAAGGCCUUAGGGUUGUAAAGCUCUUUUACCAGGGAUGAUAAUGACAGUACCUGGAGAAUAAGCUCCGGCUAACUCCGUGCCAGCCGCCGCGGUAA
rnacentral:rRNA from 1 species